AGUGAAGCUAACGCUUUCAUGAUUGCAUUCAGUCGAUCUACUCACUUGUAGACUAAACAUGACUGUCAUGCGUGGACCAUCAAAUAAUAAGCUAGCUAACUACUCCCUUAAAAGUCUAAAAAUUUAGAAUCCCUAUACUGUACGAGUAGUUAAAGUUGUGUGUACCCAUGCAAGUAGCACUUCCCGUUUAGUGAUUCCCAGGUGCUCUUUGAUGAUGCAUGCGUAUCUUAUGUGUGUACAAGCUUCUCAGGAUUUAAUGAUGACCUCACUCCGAUCAGCGUGAAUAUUACUGGAGCUAUUAGUCCCGUCAGUUAAACUGUGUAUUCAUACCUGGCCUGUAUUGCAAACGGGGUGUGUCAGAGCCUCGUGAAUUAGGGCUAGCAUUGUUUGGUUAUAGACAAGUAUAUUACACCCUUGACUAGCGGAGGGCAUGAGGUCGGCAUAACUUGUCCUCGUUAAGAAACCCAACAUGUACAGCUUUACAGGAACUGAAGAACACUUGUCGGCCUCUCUCCAGCCAUCACAGUACAGAAGGUGAUUCACGUAAAGAGCACAACAGAGGAUUGCUGGCCUAGAAACUUAACUACUAGAGACUAAUGAUAUAACCUUACUGAUUGAUGGAUGCAUUAUUAUUUUUGAAGUUUGUCUUGUUAAAUAAUUUUAUUGCA